AUUCUUCGGAUGAUCGAUCGGUGACUGAGUGGCGGACGGGUGAGUAACGCGUGGGUAACCUGCCCUGUACAGGGGGAUAACAGUUGGAAAUGGCUGCUAAUACCGCAUAAGCGCACAGAACCGCAUGGUUCGGUGUGAAAAACUCCGGUGGUAUAAGAUGGACCCGCGUUGGAUUAGCUAGUUGGCAGGGCAGCGGCCUACCAAGGCGACGAUCCAUAGCCGGCCUGAGAGGGUGAACGGCCACAUUGGGACUGAGACACGGCCCAGACUCC
rnacentral:rRNA from 1 species